AAUGGGUUUGGCCAUUCUGAUGAAUCAACUGGAUUUCUGCUGAAUCAACUGGAUUUGAAGUAACAAAGUACUCUUUAUCGUCUAGAGAAGGUUCAGAGACUGAAAGAAAGCAAAGUUCCUUAAAUUAAUGCUUUGGAGCCAAAGAUAUCAACAAGAGUCUCUGAGUAUCUGAGAUAAUUACUAGGACAAAGUUUGGAAAUUUCGGGAAAUGCUGUAAUUUGUGUUUGUUUUGAUCUAUAAACUAAGAAUAAUCUGGAGAGGUCAAUUCCUAAUUAGAACCUAGUAUGGAAGACUAGGAUCCUAAAACUCAGUGGUAACUCCGAAGAGUAAAAAUCUACCCCAGAGCUAUACGUGAAAGAUUGGAAUUUUACAAGGAGGUUUGCAUUUUAAAACUGGUUGCUGAGAUUUCACCAGAACUACCACAGAAACAUACCAGGAAAGCUGAGAGAAUCCACAGAUCCUUUGAAGGAAGUGGCUUGCUGUUGCAGGCUCCUUGAGACAGCCAAAAACUCUCACGGCAUUGGGAGACUAUGGAACAUUUGGAGAAGCCAUACAUUGUUUGUAUAUCCACUUUGGAAAUUUCUGGGGUAUUUUGUACAUUUUAUUUUUUUAAUUUUUAAUUAAAAAUUUUUUUGUAGAUACAUAGUGGGUGUAUAUAUUUAUAGGGU
rnacentral:lncRNA from 1 species